CCCCCCUCUCUCUCCCUCUCUCUCUCUCUCUCUACCCCUUGAAGGAAGGCGAAACUCUUGGGGGACUUGACUUGCAGAGAGAGAGCGAGGAGAGAGAGAGAGAGAGAGAGUACACGACCACACGAGGAGGCGGAGAAGAAGAAGAAGAAGAAGAAGAAAAGGGGGGCUUUGCUUUUGAGGGGAAUGUUGUCUGGCUCGAGGACCUUUGCCUGAUGAUCGCUUGAUUUCUAUUGCAGAUCUGGUUGCUUAAUUUACAAAUCCAUCUCUUCUAAGCCUCGAUCGACGGAAACACACCUCAUGUAGAGAUCGAGGGAGCUUGAUGUUGGGCCAAAGUGUCGUCGGACCAGGCUUCAUUCCCCCCAAUUAGUAUUGCCCCCAGCAGUUAAUUACCUAAGAUUGCUUUACAGACUAGACGAUACGAUUGUGUUGUGCGCUCGAUCUAAUCCGAAGGACAGAUGACUUCUCAUCGCUGUGUGGAGGAAGGAACCCUCUUGCCUUGGCUUGGAUCUAGAAUAACCCUUUGUCUUCCGCUUCACUUGGGGACUAGCUAGUGAUGUAGAGGCAUCUCCUGAAUAUUAGCCAAACCUCAAGUGGUUUGAACUUGUCAACGUAUUCUAUGCUAAAUGCUGCUAUGUAACCCAGCUUGGGUUUAACAUGUGUUUGCAGGUAAAUGAAAUUUGUAAACCCAUGGAACUAGCUAGUUUGAAAUGGCAAGCAACUUCAUGACAAUAUGUGUGUUUAAUUUAUUUUUUUCAUUCACUAUUGUUGCUAGGAUAUUGCCAAAGCUAGCACCACAA